AGAAUAUGUAUCAUUGGAAUUUCUGAAGAAGUAACUAAGAGAGCAGAAGAAAAUCGUAAUAGUAGAAAUUAAAAAAAAAAAUUCCCAAGGAAACAGAAAACCAGAGAGUCUUGAAAUACAUAUUGAGACAUGCAGACCAGAGUGACAAUCAGGAACAACUGAUGCCAAGAUAUGUUCCAGUAAAUCCUGGUGAAAAAAAAAAAAAAAAAAAAAGAAAGAACUCCAUUUGCACAGCUUAAUAAAACAGGAAGUGAGUUAUAAGGAAAAAAUAAUUAGAUUUUUAUCAUACUUUUUUGAUGGCAAUUAUUUAUGCCAGAAGAAAAUGGAGUAAUAUAUUUAAGCAACUCAAAGAAAGAAAAUAUGACUCAAAGAUUUUUGGAACUAGAUAAAAUUACUUUUGAGCAUAUGGGCACAGAUUAUUUGCAACACACCCUAGGCCAUAGAGUGCAGUCCCCAGAUUUUCCUGAGGAGAGCUACUAGAGAACAAAGCUCUUGUAGUGAAAACAUUUAGAGAGAGAAGGGCAUAAGGAUGCUUGGUGAUCACUGAGAAUGAAGGUAUUUGAAGAACAAACCUUAAAUAUGGGUCAAAAAGAAGAAUGUCUCCUUAAACCAACAUAUUACAAUGUAUAUAUGUAAUAAGCAUAAAGAUGAGGAUGCAAUCAAGGCAAGGAUAUUAAAAUAAAGCCUCCAUAUUAUUUCUAUCAUUUGCAUGGAUGGCAAUAGCUUUGUUCUUCGUUGGACAUGUAAUUUGCAGGAAAAGUAAUUGAGUGACUGUGUGAUUUCUUUUCUGUUCAUAUGUCAUCCAACAUUGGAACUUCUGUGUAGAAGAAAAAAAGACAUAGAUACUUUAUUUAAGGAAUAGAAUAAAAGAUCUGUUCUUCUAUUUUUAAGAGGGGAGGAAUUGAAUGGACUUGUGACAUAUUUUACAUGGACAAAUAUAUGCCCAUGUCUAAUCUCUUCUUAUUGAAGAAGCCUACAAACAAUACUCUACCUAGCAUCCAAGGACACACCUAUAACCUAGGUAGUAGUGAUGUUGAAAUAAUGUUUCUACUAAAAGAAACCAGGGGGAAGGAAAUAUAGAAAAUGAAUCCAGGACACCAUGUUGAAACUCUAACCCAGGAAACUGUAGGCACCUACUGGAGUGAAGUGACAAUCCCAGGAACAAACAUUAAGUAUCUUUUAAAAAAUAUAAUGAAUACUCAUAUUUAUUUAAGUACUUUCUCAAUAGGAAGUUUAUUGGUACAAUUUAAACUUAAAACUCUUUGUAGCUUCAAUGGAAUCCAAUUCAUAAAUUUAGUUUGAAUGCAUGAAUUCCCAAUUCUACAGUCAUACCACUGAGAACUUUGUAUCAAUAGAUUGAACUAAUUUUGAAUUGAAAAUAUUUUAAAAACUGUGUCUCUAUGAUACAUACGAAGGGCUUUUAAAAUCAUAAUUCCAUAAACAAUGUAUUAUAACAACCACUUACAUGACAUUUAUAUUGUAUUAGGUAUCAUACAUAACCUAGAAAUGAAUUAACCUGUGUAUAGGUUAUAUGCAAAUUCUAUGUCUUUUUAUUAAAAAAAAAAAAAACGUGUCUAUCCAUGGAUUUUGGUCCCCAAGGGUGUUCCUGGAACAAUAUCCUAUGGAUAACAAGAGAUGGCUUGUUUCAAAAGCCUGGUUACAGUCAUUAAAUUAUGUGGAAUCAAUUCGUUACCUUAGAGAUAGAUAAAGCAAAAGAAUCAAAUAUUGAUCCCAUAUUUCCACUAUGAAUUACAAAAUUUGAAAAUCAUGUAGUAAAUGAGAGGAAGCUUCUUUCUUAUAAAAAUAAGGUGCUUGCCGGGUGGUGGUGGCGCACGCCUUAAUCCCAGCACUCGGGAGGCAGAGGCAGGUGGAUUUCUGAGUUCCAGGCCAGCCUGGUCUACAAGUGAGUUCCAGGACAUCCAGGGCUAUACAGAGAAAACCCUAUCUCGGAAAAAAAAGCAUGUAAAAAUAAGAUGCUUAAUUAAUGAACAGAAAAUAAUUGAUAAAAUGAAACUAUCAUAAUUUUAUAAACUUCAAAUGAACUACAAAAUCUAGGUAUCUUAAAUACAUCAUCAACUGCUAACAUGGAAAGAAAUAUAUUCAGAUAUUGUGUGGUUUUGAAUGCUUGGUUGACAACAAUUAGCAUCUUUGCAAAGAGACAGACCCAGACUCACAAAGCCUCUGGAUCUAGUGGUUUGGCUGUAGCCAAUUUUGAGAGCAAAGUAAUGAAAUAAAUUGUACCAUGUCAGUCUGUAACAUAUGGAUGAUGAAAACAUGUAUAUAGUUCAACUGUCCAAGUCCCUUAACCAAAUGCAUUGUAAGAGGGAGGAGCAAAAAUCCCUGUGGAUUAAAAGGUUGGGCAUAUUGGUACAUAUGUACGAUCUUAGCACUUGGGAAGCUGGAGGCAGCAAAGUCUCAGAUGCAAGGCCGUCCCAUACACCAUAGCAUGGACCUGUCUCAAAUAACAAAAU
rnacentral:lncRNA from 1 species